CAGUGGAAAGCUAACGCCCACUUCAUGGCAAGAUGGUUGGGGACAGAGAAUAGGACCAAGAAAUGGGCCAGGCCCAUUGUCAGGAGCCACCAGGAGGACUUCCUGCUAGUGAAGGGCUAGGGAGGUAAGGUUCCUCUUUAAGGCUGAGUUCAGAGGGUGGGGCAGAGGGCAGGGGAGGGCCUUCCCCAAGAAGAUUGGAGAGGCCUGUCUCAGCAGCAGGGCCGUGAGCUGGGAGAGGAAGAGGGAGCAGGAGACGCCUCUUCAAGGGAGUUGGCCCCUCCAUACGUCCAGGUUUCAACCCAUGGGCAGUGACCGUGAGCCUGCCAACCUGCUCAAGUGUGGCCUCAGGGCCCCUCUCCAGCCAAGCUCCGGGACAGGCUCCUGGACUCCAGUCCCCGUUCGUUCAGACCCGAGUGAGCUUGGAAAGCCAGUGAGCCACCCGGCCUCAGUUUCCUCCUCGAAAAAGUGCUGGUAACUUCAAGGGCGAGACCCAACGAGAUGGCCAACGCCAAGCACAGAGCUCAGGGCCGGGCACGCCAGCCAUGGAGAGAAGAUGGUGUCAGAAGUGGCGAGAAGCACGUAGUCUCCGUGCCAGCAGCGCUCCAGGUGAUCUAGAGCUGGUGCUUCAAGUCAGAAUUCAGAGCCCCAAAGAAAAUGACUUCAUUGAAGUUGACUGAACAAAGAGCUGCUAUCAAAACCAACUAAAAGAACUUAAUCGGAAGGUGGCUGAACUCUGCGCGUACGUGGAGACACGAACAUACCACCUGCAGCAAAGUGAUGCCAAAAGGAGAGGACAGAAACACCUAAGGCAAUCAUGUCUAACUACACAAAGCAAUGCUUGGAGGUGGCUGAUUUUGUGUUAGAUUGUUUUUCCAUCCCAUCUUAAUUAUCAUGUGAAUCAUCUUUGACAAAUGCAGAUAACCCAUUUGCUGCAUCUUCAGAAUCACUUAGGUAAGCCAGGAGUGCACUGUCCUCAAGGCAUUAUCUCAUAGAGCCUCUGAAUUGUCAGCUUCAUGGUUUUCCAAAGCUGGGUGGAGAGUAUUUUAGUAAAUUCUGUGACAGUUCAUUAUGCCUAUUGAAAAAAUGCAGUGGCAUAACACUGAGGCCCAGACCUACUAGAUUCCAUGUGCUAGCUCCCAACAUGGAGCCAGAUGACCUUGGGUAAGUCAUUUAAACCACUUACUCAAUUUCUUUACCUAUAAACUGAUGGCAAUACUCGAAGACUAUAAAUCACAAAAUAUUAUGACAUGUAACGAGGUAAUUUUAUACAGUCGUUGACAGAGUGGGCUAUCAAUAGGAACUCACUACCAAAUUUUCCAUACGUGGCCAAAGGGGAAAGAAAUCAUCAGCUUAUCCAUCAGUUUUUUAAAAAAUCCUUGUUCAACCUAUUACACACCCAUAGAAAUUUACAUUUGUAUUCUAACAAGAUUGGGUAAAAGAAAUCUUGAUACACGAUUUAAAACAAAGACCAAAAAUGAGUUAAAAGUUCUUGAAUGCUCUUCUACAUCAUUAUAUCACAGCUAGAGGAUAGUGAUCAUCAGACGGAUGUGUUGAAUUUACUACCACUAAAGAUAUCUCAGAGAUGUAAAAAUAUAUUCUAGUGCACUAUACAUCUUUGCUACUUAAAAGCAAAAUUCAAAUUUACUCUUUACUACCCCAAAUUGAAGCACCAUUAUUAAAAACAUUUAAACUGUGGAAAUUCUAUAAAAAUUAGUCUUAAACAGAACCACAUAAAACUGUGCACUAAUACCUCUAGUGUAACAGUGUACCUCUUAUAUUUAAAACAAGGGACUAGUUCAGAGUCAAUGCCUUUAUUAGAAAAAGAUGAAUACUAAAACUUUCCAAUGACAGAGACAAUCAAAUCUGUAACAGAAAGUCAGAGAUACUUUAUUUUCACUUCUAAAUCCAAAGGCUAGGAAUAGCAGAGUUGUAAAAAUGGAAUCCCACUUAGUCUGAUUCACACGAAUACUAACGUUUAAUCCUGUUUUCAAAGUCCAAGAGUGAAAACUUGCAAUUAAACACUGAGCAAGCCACAUGUUUAGGUAAUAUUUCUUAAAAAGUCUUAAAGAAAAAAAUAUGAUACAUGACCUAAGUUUUCAGUGGCAUAUAUAUAUUAACACAUGUUCUGAAAUCUGGUAGGUCACAUGAGUCCUGAAUUAAUUUUUAAUAAUAAUAAAAAAAAAACAACUAACUGAGCUUUAUACUUUUUCUAUGCCACUAUAGUUUUCUUUCACCUCAUUUUAAUGUCGGUCUUCACUUUAUGCCGUUUUCAGUUUUCUUCCAAAAAUCUUCGAACAGUAGUCCUAUAAUGCAAAAUUUGGGGAAAAAUGAUAAUUAGACAGCAUGUAAAAGGCAAUCUUUUAUGACUAAGUGUUGGCCCAGUCACUAACUGCUAAUAAUAUAUGUAUAUGGAAUGUUUUUGUAUUCUUUUUCAUUAUCAAGGCAUCAGUGUGGUCUUAAAGCCAUGUGCCUGUGUAUACUUGCCUAUGUGGGAAUGGCUCACACAGACAUCACAUUAUACUGCUGUCCUAGAAAAGGAAUGCCACCGAUAAAUCAACUAAUUGGUACUCCCUUUCAUUAGGAAUGUUCUAUCCCACGCCACUAGCCCAAAGAAUGAAUAGUUUGUAGGUUUUAAGAACUCUGAUAAAACCUGACUUUUAAUAGUUCUUUAAAAACCCAAAUUCAUUCUGUAUGGUUCAUCAGUUCUUUACAUUCAGAUUGAAAAUGUCUAUCCUUGCUAUUCACUGCUGCUUUAAAUGUAUCAGCCAGCGACUAUUCCUAUAUACCUCUGGUUGACGGCAAAAUUCUCCUACACAGUAGGAAAUAUUAAACACAUACCUCUUAAAGACUUGAGAAUUGCAUUGAAUGUAACAAGGCGAAUAAUAUGAAGUGUUUAUUGUAUUUAAAAUUCUUUAAAGAUAUCUAAUUCUGGGCACCACUGCAUCCCUACAUACAGUUGAAAAAAAAUUCCAUUCUGUUAACAUUUGAUUUAUAAGUUUCACGCAAUACACAAAAACCCCUCUGUGCUUCUUGUAAAGAACAAAAAAGAUACACAACAGUUAAGCGUAAAGAUCACAGGCAAUAGCAUUCAAACAUGGAUGUGGGUAGAGAAAGGAGUACCUGGCAUGAGUACCUGCUUAGUUUGACUGAAUCCUUGAUUUUUAAUUUGGCUUUUCAUGGGCCGCUCACAACACCAACGCUGUGUGAGGUAUGGUAGUCAGCUGCAAUAAUUCAUAAACCCUACACUUCCAUCAAUCCAAUGCUACUGGCUCUCGAGUUACAGAACAAACUGCAUUAGAAUGCAAGGCAAUAAAGCAAAAAACUAGAAACAUCCUUGACAAAGAAAUAACUAGCAGUUUAAUUAAAACAAAGUAGUCCAACAUGUGCCUCAGAAAUAUUUAAGUUUUUAAAGCAAUGUCUCUGCCAAUGUACCAACACAAGAUGGACUUAAUACCAAAAAGAAAAAAAAAAAAA